CCAAAAACGCUUAUUUUGCUAGUGGCCACCACAAUUUAUUUCAUAACUUUGACCUCAAAUCAGGUAGGACUACCCGCUGAACUUAAGCAUAUCAAUAAGCGGAGGAAAAGAAACCAACAGGGAUUGCCUUAGUAGCGGCGAGUGAAGCGGCAAAAGCUCAAAUUUGAAAUCUGGCUCUUUCAGAGUCCGAGUUGUAAUUUGAAGAAGGUAUCUUUGGGUCUGGCUCUUGUCUAUGUUUCUUGGAACAGAACGUCACAGAGGGUGAGAAUCCCGUGCGAUGAGAUGAUCCAGGCCUAUGUAAAGUUCCUUCGAAGAGUCGAGUUGUUUGGGAAUGCAGCUCUAAGUGGGUGGUAAAUUCCAUCUAAAGCUAAAUAUUGGCGAGAGACCGAUAGCGAACAAGUACAGUGAUGGAAAGAUGAAAAGAACUUUGAAAAGAGAGUGAAAAAGUACGUGAAAUUGUUGAAAGGGAAGGGCUUGAGAUCAGACUUGGUAUUUUGUAUGUUACUUCUUCGGGGGUGGCCUCUACAGUUUAUCGGGCCAGCAUCAGUUUGGGCGGUAGGAGAAUUGCGUUGGAAUGUGGCACGGCUUCGGUUGUGUGUUAUAGCCUUCGUCGAUACUGCCAGCCUAGACUGAGGACUGCGGUUUAUACCUAGGAUGUUGGCAUAAUGAUCUUAAGUCGCCCGUCUUGAAACACGGACCAAGGAGUCUAACGUCUAUGCGAGUGUU
rnacentral:rRNA from 1 species